rnacentral:sRNA from 1 species
UUAGAGAUCUAUCUACCUCCUGAGUGCUGAGACUAAAGGUAUGUGCCAUCAUGCCCAGCUUUCUUCCUUCCUUUAUCUAAUUCCGGGAUGGCUCUCAGGUUGCCAGACAUGCACAGUGAGUGCCUAUACCCAAGGAGCCUUCUCACCAGGUAUCCACUUGGGUUUAUGUUCAUUCUCCCCACACCCCAAGACUGGGUCUUGCUAUAGCUGAGGUUGGCUUUGAACUUAGAAUCCUCCUGCCUCUGCUUCUCCAGUGCUGACAUAAAAGGCUCUACAGAAACCUAGGGCUCACGGGGAAGCCCAUCACUUUUGAUGUUUCAGCUGUAACAUACUGUCUCAGGAUUUCUUUGUGAGGGUUUCCAUGGCAAUAUUGUGGGACUAAGGAGAAUGCUGUUUGUCCUUAUUAGAUGAGAGCACUGGACUUCAGCAGUUCUUGGCUUACUCCUGCAGUCUUUGGAAGACCUGAGCGCCUGAGACGCAGCUGCACGGCAUCCUGGUGCUGUGCUGAGUCAAGAUGAAUUGCUCCCCACCGCCCUUGCCCUUCCUGUUUUCUCACUCUCAAAGUAGGGGUCACAGGGAUGAACAGUGCUUUGUGGUUUGCCUGAAAUGCUUUACAAAAGACACCACCGACCACGUCUUUCCCAGUCUUCACUGUGGAGUCACCUCAGACCUUCUCAGUCCGGGGCAAGGUGGGUCCGAGCUUUUUGUCUCCUUCCCUGUGAACUUGGCAGGUUUGAGACUGUAGAAGGCGUGUGUGAUCCACCACUGUGCUCAACCUCAAGUGCCACACUGACCUCUGAUGACAUCUGAGCUGUUCAGAUAGGAAAUACGCUGCAGGAUCAAUAUCUGUUUAUCUUAGUUUCUGCCUGUCCUCGGCUGUAUUGAUCUUUCCAUUAGCACUCUUGUGUGCUAAUGGGUGGCUGGGGAGCAGAUCACCGAGAAGCCACAGAAGUUGGGUCUGAAAUCUCAGCAUUGGAGGUGAGGUGGGAGCGUAGUGAUUCUGAAGUCAGCAUGAGUUAGUUACCCAGCAGGCCCAUCUCAGAAAACGUAAGGAAAUCUUUAAGCAUGUAGACUGGUCUGGAAAAGGAGAGUUUGAUUACCCUCAUGCUGGACAGCUCACAACUGCCUGCCUCUAGUUCUACCUCCAAAGGAUCCAGCGCCCUCCUUCGGUCUCUGGGCAGCUAUAGCCAGGUGCACGUAAGCUCACACAGGCACAUGUACAACUUAAAAACAUUAGAAAGCUAACUCCAGGAAACAGAAGACAGCUAUACACAAGCUAAAAGUAGGCAUCAUGAGCCACAGAUUGCUUGGUCAAAGACUGUAGCAUGUCCAGAUCAACCUGGCUGUGGAGUGAGGUCAUGUCUCAAGCAAACGUGUCUAACUCUGGACCUUUGUCCUCUGGGAAAAGGGAGCAGCAGAGGGCACAGCGCUCACUGUGUAAACCUGAUGAACUGAGUCCAGAUCCCUAGAAGCAGCAUAGCACAGCACAAGUGUAGGUAACCCCCAUGGCAUCUACAAGGAGAUAGAGGCUGAGACAGGAGAAACACAAGCUUGCAAGCCAGGUAUCCCGGUGUUUACAGCAGUGAACAAGAGGCUCUGUAUCAAGGCAGAAGGCAAGGCCCCACACCCACUGCAGAUGCAAUGUAGCUCGUGUGCCCAUACACACAGACACGAGAGAAGGAGCAGGGUAGUCUUGGGUAUUCCCCAAAAGAUGGGCGCAGUGGCCCAAGAGUGCCCACCCCCAGAUGGGAACAGUGGUCUUAGUGCGCCCCCAUCAGGAAGGAGUGAAGGAAGUACAAGUGGUCGUUCCUGAGGGCCAGUUGACCUCACUAUACAGGCAGCUCUCCCUGAGGAAUGUUAGUUCUCUAUGGACUUAGGCAGUAUGCUAAUGGCUGAGAGAAAGCCAAACAGACACAGCACAUCCAGGCCCCAGAUGGAAACAAGCUGCAGUUAUUGGUCGUCUCACUGGCUUGUUCAUCUUUUCAUGCAAGCAGUAGCAAGUUUUGGUAAGUGGUUUUCAUUUUUGUGACACUAUACUCAAUUAAUUCUAUUGGAUUAAAAACAGUGUAUUUCAAUAUAUUUUAUUAAUAUAUUUUAUAUAUUAAAUAUAUAUAUUUCCAGCUAUAGGAGAAAUGACUGAGCACUUAAGAGCAUGAACUGUUUUUCCAGAGGACUGACUGGAGUUUGGUUUCUGACACCCAAAUCAGGUGGCCGACAACCUCUUGUAACUCUAGCUCCAAGGACCCCACCCCCACCCCCAUUUGUGGUUGCCCUGGUCAUCUGUACAUGUGGCCUAUACACAAAUACCUAAGUAAAACUAAAAUUUAAAAAGAUUAUUUCUCUGUGGGUGCAUGUGCAUUUGCACACAUGCACAUGCAAAUAUGUGUGGCUGCCAGGGGAAACCAGAAGUUCACAAGUGCUCUCAACUGCUAAACCAUCUCUCUGUCCCCACUUAGGAGACUUUACACGUCUGGUAUUUCUGGGAUAGUUUCAGAA